CAGGGAGGCCCCCUUUUGGUCUGUUUAGGCCUUCUACUGAUUGGGUGAGGCCCACCCACAUUAUGGAGGGUAAUCUUUUUUUGAAAUCUGAUCUUUCUUUCUUUCUUUUAAAUGAUAGUAGGAUGGGAGAAACUUUGGAGAUGAUUUGGGUCAUAAACCACAGGGGGAGCCUCAUGAAUGGGAUUAGUGUCCUUAUAAAAAGAUCCCCAAAGAACUCUCUUAUUUUCUUUUCCUCAUGUCACACAGUCAGAAGACAGCAAUCUGUGACACAGAAGAGGGCCCUCACCCAACCAUGCCGGCAUCCUGAUCUCAGACUUUCAGCCUCCAAAACUUAAUGUAUUCCCCAGAAGAAGUACAGAGAAUAUGGAAGGAAGAUGGGAGACAGCUAGUUGAACCCCGCAGCUCAAGGUUGGCUUAGCAGGGCUAUUUCAGCUCUGGGAGACACUGCCUUCACAUCGGGACACUCAUCCUGUUAACAUCACUUAAAAAUCACCCAGCAAGGAAUGCCUGUGUGGCUCAGUUGGUUAAGCCUCUGCCUUCGGCUCCUUCAUGAUCCCAGGGUCCUGGGAUUGUGUUCCACAUUGGGCUCCUUGCUCAAUAGGGAGCCUGCUCUGCCUGUAGCUCUCCGUAUUUCUGCUCUCCCUGACAGAUAAAUAAAUAAAAGUCUUUAAAAAAAAAAAAAAGCAUCCAGAAAAUUUUGUCUUCUAUUUUAUUAUGUGACUUUUUCGAAUCUUACGUUGUUUAAUCCAAUCUAUGCUUUAUCUCCAUUGCUCUUAGAACUUGUAUUUUUUUUUCAUUUUCCCUUUGACCCCCUUCACCCAUUUCACCAUCAAAGUUUCCUGAUUUAAAUGUAAAUCUCAUCCAAAACCACCCUCAUAGAAACAUCCAGAAUAUUUGACCAAAUAUCUGGAUAUUGUGGCCCAG
rnacentral:lncRNA from 1 species